GAUGAACGCUGGCGGCGUGCCUAAUACAUGCAAGUCGAGCGAAUGGAUUAAGAGCUUGCUCUUAUGAAGUUAGCGGCGGACGGGUGAGUAACACGUGGGUAACCUGCCCAUAAGACUGGGAUAACUCCGGGAAACCGGGGCUAAUACCGGAUAACAUUUUGAACCGCAUGGUUCGAAAUUGAAAGGCGGCUUCGGCUGUCACUUAUGGAUGGACCCGCGUCGCAUUAGCUAGUUGGUGAGGUAACGGCUCACCAAGGCAAGGAUGCGUAGCCGACCUGAGAGGGUGAGCGGCCACACUGGGACUGGGACACGGACCAGACUCCUACGGGAGGCAGCAGUAGGGAAUCUUCCGCAAUGGACGAAAGUCUGACGGAGCAACGCCGCGUGUGGGACGAAGGCCUUCGGGUCGUAAACCACUGUCAGUGGGAAAGAAGGGUGUCGGCGCUAAUACCGCCGGCAUUUGACGGUACCUGCAGAGGAAGCCCCGGCCAACUCUGUGCCAGCAGCCGCCGUAA
rnacentral:rRNA from 1 species